rnacentral:rRNA from 1 species
UGGGGAAUAUUGCACAAUGGGCGCAAGCCUGAUGCAGCCAUGCCGCGUGUAUGAAGAAGGCCUUCGGGUUGUAAAGUACUUUCAGCGGGGAGGAAGGGAGUAAAGUUAAUACCUUUGCUCAUUGACGUUACCCGCAGAAGAAGCACCGGCUAACUCCGUGCCAGCAGCCGCGGUAAUACGGAGGGUGCAAGCGUUAAUCGGAAUUACUGGGCGUAAAGCGCACGCAGGCGGUUUGUUAAGUCAGAUGUGAAAUCCCCGGGCUCAACCUGGGAACUGCAUUCGAAACUGGCAGGCUAGAGUCUUGUAGAGGGGGGUAGAAUUCCAGGUGUAGCGGUGAAAUGCGUAGAGAUCUGGAGGAAUACCGAUGGCGAAGGCGGCCCCCUGGACAAAGACUGACGCUCAGGUGCGAAAGCGUGGGGAGCAAACAGG